GUUCUUUUGUUCCAGGUCUGGAAUUUGCAUAUUCUGCUGCUCCCAAAUCUAUGCAGAGUGCGAUUAUGGGUCUCUUUUUCUUUUUUUUCCGGAAUUGGGUCUUUUGUUGGAUCAGGGCUUCUGGCUUUGGUGUCUAUUACAGCGAUUGGCUGGAUGAGUAAUCACACAGAUUUGGGUAACAUUAAUGGGUGCCAUUUAAACUAUUACUUUUUUCUGCUGGCUGCUAUUCAAGGAGCAACCCUUCUCCUUUUCCUUAUUGUGUCUGUCAGAUAUGACCGCCAAAGAUCCCGGACUAACGGACCUCCCGCCAGUGUGCGGACCUGACAUCUGCAAGGAAAGAGCAGCUUUUAUGACCGACGUUUGAUGUCAGUUGAACCAUCCAUCUGCGAGGUCUUAAAUGCUAAUACAGUGGCCGUUUGUGGCCAGGAAAUGUUUUCUUUAAACUUGCAUGUUAACAUUGCGUUCUUGCCUCAACCCUCUUUGUUCCUUCCCCUGUAAAAGUAGGUAAGUGCCUUAUGUUAGCAAGAUGGCCUUGUCUUGCCCAGUGCCCAGAGACAUGGCCCAAGCUCAAUUUUUCAAGUGUGUUACCCUUGGGCACAGAAGAUGCACAGAAGAUGCAGCGAACUUAUUCGAAGCUGUUUCCUUCAGUCUGUUGAAGCUGGGGACGAUUAGCCUUUGGAUACAGAAGCGAUGAAUGACUGCCUACUAAGGAGACGUUUAAUUUCUUUGAAGAAUGACUUUGAAGGAAAUGAGCAAAAGAAGGUUGCUUGCCAUUUCCCCUUGCUUAUCCAUUUCCCCAGAAAUAAUGUUCUCCUUUCUUAAAACGGAAGUGUCGGUGUGGAUGGGGGUGAGAAGUCUCUGUUGGUGUUGGUUAUAUGGGAAUGAAGUGGUGUGGAAUUUUUUUAUUCCUGUGUUGUCCAAAAAGGGAAGCGACUUCAACCUACGUGGUAUUUUCCGCGGCAAAAGUUAUGAAACUACUGUAAUGAACAGGCCUCGCUGUGCAACGUGGUGGUCCUUCUGUUGCUGUCUCAUUUCUAUCCGUUAAAUCAUUUCGUGGCAGGAAACUGAGCUGGUAUCAGAGUCUUUCCUUUUUCUUCCUUUCUUUUCUGUUGCCUCACGCCUUGAGAAUUUAUCCUUUCUUAGGUAGGAGUUGAAAUGUACUCAAGCGUUUGGGAUAUAUUGUGUGCUGUGAAUAAGCAAAUCUGUUACUGUCCCCUCAUUUUUAGGUCACUUUCCCAUUUAAAAGUUGAUGGCGCGGAUGGGAGUAGAAACUAUAAGUAUUUGAAAGUGUAAUUUGAGCUAGGUUGGAUGGACAUUCUGAAGGGCACAGCCAAUUUGGAGUAGAGGCCCAAGAUGGAUGGAAGUUCUUUGUGGUGCGACCUUGGCAAUCUGUGUGCCAAAACAAGGCCCAAGAAUCUACAUUGACUGCUAGCCAAACUGGUUCUCCAUUAAAACCCCAUCUUGUGAAGGACAAGGCUCUUGUAUAUAAAUCAGGAAGAGGGAACAUUUGACCCUCCUGAAGUUGGACUCCCAGCUCCCAUCAGCUUCAGCCAGCUUGAAGAGUGGUCAAGGAUGAUAGGAGAUGUAGCCCCAAACAUUCUGAAGGGCCGCAGGUUCUCCACCCCUGACGUAAAUCUGCCUUGAGCUUCUCAGCAGAGGGGUGUGCCAUAGAAACAGUUGGGUUUCCUCAGUCAUUUUCCUAGCCUUCUUAAUUAACCUAAUGAAAGCAAGAGCCUUUAUUUCAUCUCGCAUGUACCUCGCUCAAAUGUUCUCUAUUUCUCACAGGGCCUAAUUUUCAACCACAUAAAAAGCAAUAUUUUGCACAGAAAUUGCGGAGUUCUGGCAAAUGGGAGUCAACUUCACCUAAUAACAAAUGGUUUUCCAACUUUUUUAUUUUUGGUGAGGAGGUGAUUAAUUUUUAAGAGUAUUCAAACAUUGGAAUGGAAAAGGCGCCUUUGGUUUUCUAUAAUUCAUGUACCUUCAUUUGGAAAUGUUUACAAAAGCCCAUGUGCGGGGAACCUGUGUUCUAGGGUGAAUAAAAAAGUAUGCUGCAGG